UACGAAGGUCCCAAGCGUUAUCCGGAUUUAUUGGGUUUAAAGGGUGCGUAGGCGGGUUAUUAAGUCAGUGGUGAAAGCUCCUAGCUCAACUGGGAAAUUGCCAUUGAUACUGAUGAUCUUGGGUAUGAUUGAGGUUGGCGGAAUGUGUCAUGUAGCGGUGAAAUGCUUAGAUAUGACACAGAACACCGAUUGCGAAGGCAGCUAACUAAGUCAUAACUGACGCUGAUGCACGAAAGCGUGGGGAGCAAACAGG
rnacentral:rRNA from 1 species